AGAGUUUGAUCAUGGCUCAGGACGAACGCUGGCGGCGUGCUUAACACAUGCAAGUCGAACGGAAAGGCCCUUCGGGGUACUCGAGUGGCGAACGGGUGAGUAACACGUGGGUGAUCUGCCCUGCACUUUGGGAUAAGCCUGGGAAACUGGGUCUAAUACCGAAUAGGACCACGCGCUUCAUGGUGUGUGGUGGAAAGCUUUUGCGGUGUGGGAUGGGCCCGCGGCCUAUCAGCUUGUUGGUGGGGUAAUGGCCUACCAAGGCGACGACGGGUAGCCGGCCUGAGAGGGUGACCGGCCACACUGGGACUGAGAUACGGCCCAGACUCCUACGGGAGGCAGCAGUGGGGAAUAUUGCACAAUGGGCGCAAGCCUGAUGCAGCGACGCCGCGUGAGGGAUGACGGCCUUCGGGUUGUAAACCUCUUUCACCAGGGACGAAGCGCAAGUGACGGUACCUGGAGAAGAAGCACCGGCCAACUACGUGCCAGCAGCCGCGGUAAUACGUAGGGUGCGAGCGUUGUCCGGAAUUACUGGGCGUAAAGAGCUCGUAGGUGGUUUGUCGCGUUGUUCGUGAAAACUCACAGCUUAACUGUGGGCGUGCGGGCGAUACGGGCAGACUAGAGUACUGCAGGGGAGACUGGAAUUCCUGGUGUAGCGGUGGAAUGCGCAGAUAUCAGGAGGAACACCGGUGGCGAAGGCGGGUCUCUGGGCAGUAACUGACGCUGAGGAGCGAAAGCGUGGGGAGCGAACAGGAUUAGAUACCCUGGUAGUCC
rnacentral:rRNA from 1 species